rnacentral:rRNA from 1 species
UACGAAGGGGGCUAGCGUUGCUCGGAAUUACUGGGCGUAAAGCGCACGUAGGCGGCUUUCUAAGUCGGGGGUGAAAUCCUGGAGCUCAACUCCAGAACUGCCUUCGAUACUGGAAAGCUCGAGUCCGGGAGAGGUGCGUGGAACUGCGAGUGUAGAGGUGAAAUUCGUAGAUAUUCGCAAGAACACCAGUGGCGAAGGCGGCUCACUGGCCCGGUACUGACGCUGAGGUGCGAAAGCGUGGGGAGCAAACAGG